GGCUCUGGGAAUUUCUCCUCCCACGUGGAGGCCCCCACAGCAGUGGACACCACCCAGCCAGGCCCACCUGACCGGUCAGGCUCAAACCCUCUGGUACCCGCCCCACCCAUAGGACCAGGUGUAAACCAGGCAGCGACACCCCAGACGUGUGGUCUUGGUCAGCUCCCCUGGGCUCCUCUCCCUCCAGCUGGCCCUUCUCUGCCCAGGAAACAGUUUUCUGAAGAGUUCUCCGUUCUCGAGCCUUCCAGCUGCGUGGGAGAGAGUUGACCCCAAGGCUGGGACCACAAGAGGCCAGGGAGGGUGGGCCUGGGAUCUGCAGCUCACGGGCUGUGUGACUGUGGGCACGAGAUUUCAUUUCCUGAUUCAUAAAGGUGGGGACCGAUCAAAGCUACUCCUUGGACCUUUGUGAAGAUUAAAUGAGUUCAACACGGAGCAUUCUUGACCCAUGGGCCAUCCCCAGAUGAGGCUGCAGCAUUGCCCCGUGUGCUCUCAGCUGGUGCCAGUGUUGUCUGGAACUGUCUGGACCUACCUGGAAACUGAGUAUUUCUCUGAAGAAGUCUGCAGCCCUUUGGCAGCGUGGCUGCAGAUGGAAGGAAGGAAACAGUUCGCCCUGGAGAAUGGCUAGGCAGCACCUCUGAGCCGAGCAUCCCACCCGCUCUGACUGGCCCACAAUCGUGGGGCCAGUGGUAUCUCAGAGCCCUUCUGUAAGGAGGUCUGGUCCCCCGGCAUUCAGGGGUUCUGAGCUGCUCAGUUCUGGGAUAUGGGGAAAAGCCAGGAUUCUCCACCAUGCUGGCUGACGCCAUUUCUCUGUUCACCAGACCUACAGGGUUUUGUCACUUACAGUGAUUGCCAUGGUCUGAAUGCUUGUGUCCUCCUCGAAAGAGCCUUCCAAGAUGCGGUGCCCUCCAUCAGCAUAUUGCCACGCCUUUCUCUCCCAGGAUGCAUUGCUGGGAUGGAUGAACAGGGCCAUGCGAUAAAUCCUCUAACGUUGCCACGUCUGUGCUUUUGCCUCCUUUCCUCUCCGUUGUAUGGAGGAAGUUCUGACAGCUCACUUCAUUUCACGUGGUGUGCAAGCUUCUGUCAAACAACGGAACAAACUAUGAGAACCACUUCCAGCCACUGCUUCUGCACACUUCUCUGCUAAGUGAGUCUCUGCUGUGUGAGUCUCAUUGGUAAAACUACCCUGAUCUAACAUUCUGUUACCUCCUUUGUGGUCCAACACUCCAAGAGUCCACGGCCUCAGACGCCCCUGGGUUUCUGCUGAUGUAAAUUGGCAAAAACUUGCAUUCAGUGUGUAUGUGGCUCCUCUUGGGUCUCACUGUGUGUUUAUCCCUCUGCACCCAACUCUAGUCAUGGCUCUGGGAAUAAUGAGGGUCGGUGGAGGUGGAUCUCAAGGGAGAUCUGUCAUCUUGCAAGGCUGUUUCCUCAAGUGAAGCCAUCACAGAUCUUUGGGCACAGUUUUACUCACCUCAGACUCUAAGGAAGAGUCACUUCUGCUUACAGGGAGACUCAGGAAGGUCUAAUGUUCAGGGGACUCAGAGUCAGAGAAAUCCACCCUCUCCAGUUCUCGAGGUCUCAUUCUUUCCAAAUAAAUGCCUUAACUUUGACUUAAGAGAUUUAGUAAGACAUUUAAUUAUUCUUUAGUUGUAAUUCAUUAGCCUGCAAGAUCAAAUUUGUACUCUGCAUUUAAAAAAAAAAGUUGACUCUACAGCUACAAGAACUAAAAUGGUUUUUUUAGGACAGCUAUAGAAGGGCUCUGGUUCUCUGUCUAUACCUUCAGCUGAGCACUUAAGGCCACAGCUUGUCAUUUUCUUUGUCAGUUCCCCAGUGCAAUAAGCAGCAGCCACCCCAUGCCACAUCCUUGUAUGCAUGGUUUCCAUCCACAUCCUAAUGUCCUAUUGCAAGAGCCCCCUGGUGUCUGAAACCCAGGCUUGUGAUGGGCACUGCAUCGCAGAGACCUCAAGGUAAUGAUUUUACCAGUGACAAUGUUUAUAGAUUAUCUGCAUCCUGCUUCCCACUCCUCACGUGGUCCUCACUGACAUCAGACAAAACCUGGUCUGUCCAAUUACUAACUCCAGAUUCCCAUCUUCAAGGUUCUGCCUUCCUGGAAACACUGCUGGUACCAGGAAUGGUUGGUCGGGAACACUAAAGUCACUCUAGGUAUUUUGGGUAGAAGGAGAUUCAUUGCAGGGAACUCUAGGCUUACAGAAAUGUUGAGAACUUUGGGGACUGAAGGUUAUUUCAGGAGAUCUGGAAGUGCAGGGAUAGAAGGGUAGCAUCCAUUGCCCCCUGAUAACUGUACCACUGACAUGGCUAGAAACCACCCCAGUGAUCCCAGCUGCUUGUAGCACCUCAGGGUGAUUCUCAAACUGACUCCAGAAGCCAAGGUACACUGCUGCCAAUGACUGCAGGGGCCUCUGCAAAACGGACGUUGAUGAAUGAAACAAAGUGUGAUCUACCCAUAGCAGGGAAUGUUAUUCAUCCUUAAAAAGGAAGGAAAUCCUGCAGCUCACGC
rnacentral:lncRNA from 1 species